AUACGGAGGGUGCAAGCGUUACUCGGAAUUACUGGGCGUAAAGGACGCGUAGGCGGUUUAGAAAGUCAGAUGUGAAAGCCUAUGGCUUAACCAUAGAACUGCAUCUGAAACUCCUAGACUAGAGUGAGGGAGAGGUCAGUGGAAUUAGUGGUGUAGGGGUAAAAUCCGUAGAGAUCACUAGGAAUACUCAUAGCGAAGGCGACUGACUGGAACUUUACUGACGCUGAGGCGUGAAAGCGUGGGGAGCAAACAGGAUUAGAUACCCUAGUAGUCC
rnacentral:rRNA from 1 species